rnacentral:rRNA from 1 species
UACGAAGGGGCUAGCGUUGCUCGGAAUCACUGGGCGUAAAGGUGCGUAGGCGGGUCUUUAAGUCGGGGUGAAAUCCUGGAGCUCAACUCCAGACUGCCUUCGAUACUGGCGAUCUUGAGUCCGGAAGAGGUGAGUGGAACUCCUAGUGUAGAGGUGGAAUUCGUAGAUAUUAGGAAGAACACCAGUGGCGAAGGCGGAGCUC